UGGGGAAUUUUGGACAAUGGGCGAAAGCCUGAUCCAGCAAUGCCGCGUGUGUGAAGAAGGCCUUCGGGUUGUAAAGCACUUUUGUCCGGAAAGACAACGCCGUGGUUAAUACCCGUGGCGGAUGACGGUACCGGAAGAAUAAGCACCGGCUAACUACGUGCCAGCAGCCGCGGUAAUACGUAGGGUGCAAGCGUUAAUCGGAAUUACUGGGCGUAAAGCGUGCGCAGGCGGUCCGCUAAGACAGAUGUGAAAUCCCCGGGCUUAACCUGGGAGCUGCAUUUGUGACUGGCGGGCUAGAGUAUGGCAGAGGGGGGUAGAAUUCCACGGGUAGCAGUGAAAUGCGUAGAGAUGUGGAGGAAUACCGAUGGCGAAGGCAGCCCCCUGGGCCAAUACUGACGCUCAUGCACGAAAGCGUGGGGAGCAAACAGG
rnacentral:rRNA from 1 species